rnacentral:misc_RNA from 1 species
GAUGAAGAACGCAGUGAAACGCGAUAUGUAAUGUGAAUUGCAGAAUUCAGUGAAUCAUCGAAUCUUUGAACGCACAUGGCGCCUUCCAGUAUCCUGGGAGGCAUGCCUGUCCGAGCGUCGUUUCAACCCUCGAGCCCCCGUGGCCCGGCGUUGGGGAUCUGCCCAGGCAGUCCCCGAAAACCAGUGGCGGACCCGUUACAGGCCCUUCCCUUGCGUAGUAGCAUUCGCCUCGCAUCGGGAGUCGGCGGGCUUCCAGCCUCUAAACCCCCAUCAAGUCCGCCCCGGCGGCACCAAGGUUGACCUCGGAUCAGGUAGGAAUACCCGCUGAACUUAAGCAUAUCAAUAAGCGGAGGA